CCUACAGGAGGCUGCAGUGGGGAAUAUUGGACAAUGGGGGCAACCCUGAUCCAGCCAUGCCGCGUGUGUGAAGAAGGCCCUCGGGUUGUAAAGCACUUUCAGUGAGGAAGAACGCCUGGUGGUUAAUACCCAUCAGGAAAGACAUCACUCACAGAAGAAGCACCGGCUAACUCCGUGCCAGCAGCCGCGGUAAUACGGAGGGUGCGAGCGUUAAUCGGAAUUACUGGGCGUAAAGCGCGCGUAGGUGGCUUGAUAAGCCGGUUGUGAAAGCCCCGGGCUCAACCUGGGAACGGCAUCCGGAACUGUCAAGCUAGAGUGCAGGAGAGGAAGGUAGAAUUCCCGGUGUAGCGGUGAAAUGCGUAGAGAUCGGGAGGAAUACCAGUGGCGAAGGCGGCCUUCUGGACUGACACUGACACUGAGGUGCGAAAGCGUGGGUAGCAAACAGGAUUAGAUACCCUUGUAGUC
rnacentral:rRNA from 1 species